rnacentral:ncRNA from 1 species
UGCAAAGCAAUGAGAGGAACUAGUAGCAAGUUGUUUUUCUUAAGAGAGCUGGUGGUUGGUGGAAACCAGUGAAAAACGCUUGUGAAUCCGUCCUUGAGUGAAAUGCUGAAUGCAAGUUUUUGUUAGUAAGCAUUUACGGCAAAAACCGUUACCUUUGUAAGUGGAAGGCUGAUGCCUUCAAGCAGGGUGGCAACGCGGGUAUACUCUCGUCCCUUUU